UACGUAGGGCGCAAGCGUUGUCCGGAAUUAUUGGGCGUAAAGAGCUCGUAGGCGGCCUGUUGCGUCCGCUGUGAAAUCCCGGGGCUCAACCCCCGGGCCUGCAGUGGAUACGGGGCUGGCUGGAGGCAGGCAGGGGAGAACGGAAUUCCUGGUGUAGCGGUGAAAUGCGCAGAUAUCAGGAGGAACACCGGUGGCGAAGGCGGGUCUCCGGGCCGAUACUGACGCUGAGGAGCGAAAGCGUGGGGAGCGAACAGG
rnacentral:rRNA from 1 species